UUUCAUUUUCUCCCUCUAAUCCUCAAUAUUUUUUUUUUAUUUAAUAAAUAUGAGCACAAGUUUUAAUGUUCAGAUGUACUGAAUAAAUAUGAGCUUAGUUUUUUUUUUCUGUAUUUAAUAGUCAAGUCAAGUUUAUUACUGCUGCUCUUCUUUCACUUUCUUUUUCUCUCUCAUAUACCUUAAUUUCUUUCUAUCUCUUUUUUCCUCUUUCAAACAUCACAAUCUGGUUUUCAUCACAAAUGGGAGAUGCUUGCUACCGAUCUAUAUAUUGCCUUUAGUAUCUGACUUUCUGUUUCUCUUUUAAGGAUUGACUUGGUCCGAUCUACUGAUCAUUUUUUUUGGCUUAAAGAAUGGAGUAAUAGUUGAACCUCAGAUGAUUCUACUGAGUUCAGAAAAACUUAGGAACCUUCUCUUAUUUAUUGUCACGAAUUUCUUGUUAAAGAGAAGAUAGUAUGAUGUUAUGCAUCUAAAAGGCAAAUAACUUUUUCGCUUUUCCAAGGGUACUUCAAGAGAUAAGAUGAUGGAGAUUGAAGACGACGGUCAAGUUUGAAUUGUACAUAUUAUUUGAUUAUUUUAGAAUUUUAGUUUUAGUAACUAGCAUUAGAUUAUGGAAUCUUCAUUUUAAGACAUUAUUAGAAGAAAUUGAUGCUUUGAACAAAGUUGGUUUUUCAUAUAAAUUAAAUGUAGCAAAUAUUUUUUUGACAUGAUGAAUAAAGCAAGCAAGAAUUUAUAUUUA